rnacentral:rRNA from 1 species
AUUGAACGCUGGCGGAAUGCUUUACACAUGCAAGUCGAACGGCAGCACGGACUUCGAUCUGGUGGCGAAUGGCGAACGGGUGAGUAAUGUAUCGGAACGUGCCCAGACGUGGGGGAUAACGUAGUGAAAAUUACGCUAAUACCGCAUACGAUCUAUGGAUGAAAGCGGGGGAUCGCAAGACCUCGCGCGAUUGGAGCGGCCGAUAUCAGAUUAGGUAGUUGGUGGGGUAAAGGCCCACCAAGCCAACGAUCUGUAGCUGGUCUGAGAGGACGACCAGCCACACUGGAACUGAGACACGGUCCAGACUCCUACGGGAGGCAGCAGUGGGGAAUUUUGGACAAUGGGCGAAAGCCUGAUCCAGCCAUUCCGCGUGCAGGAUGAAGGCCCUCGGGUUGUAAACUGCUUUUGUACAGAACGAAAAGGUCUCUACUAAUACUAGGAGCUCAUGACGGUACUGUAAGAAUAAGCACCGGCUAACUACGUGCCAGCCGCCGCGGUAA